rnacentral:rRNA from 1 species
UACGAAGGGUGCAAGCGUUAAUCGGAAUUACUGGGCGUAAAGCGUGCGUAGGCGGUUUCUUAAGUCCGUUGUGAAAGCCCUGGGCUCAACCUGGGAACUGCGAUGGAUACUGAGGAGCUGGAGUACGGUAGAGGAAGGUGGAAUUCCCGGUGUAGCGGUGAAAUGCGUAGAGAUCGGGAGGAACACCUGCGGCGAAGGCGGGUAGCUGGGCCGACACUGACGCUGAGACGCGAAAGCGUGGGGAGCAAACAGG